UGCACUGGUGGCUUAGUGGUUAGAGCGUCCGCCUCGGAUGCGGGAGUUCGUGGGUUCGAUACCCGUUGAGUCAU